UACGUAGGGUGCGAGCGUUAAUCGGAAUUACUGGGCGUAAAGCGUGCGCAGGCGGUUUUGUAAGACAGAUGUGAAAUCCCCGGGCUUAACCUGGGAACUGCAUUUGUGACUGCAAGGCUAGAGUACGGCAGAGGGGGGUAGAAUUCCACGUGUAGCGGUGAAAUGCGUAGAGAUGUGGAGGAACACCAAUGGCGAAGGCAGCCUCCUGGGCCAAUACUGACACUCAUGCACGAAAGCGUGGGGAGCAAACAGG
rnacentral:rRNA from 1 species